GCUCUCUGGGUGACGAGCGGCGGACGGGUGAGUAAUGUCUGGGAAACUGCCUGAUGGAGGGGGAUAACUACUGGAAACGGUAGCUAAUACCGCAUGACCUCGCAAGAGCAAAGUGGGGGACCUUCGGGCCUCACGCCAUCGGAUGUGCCCAGAUGGGAUUAGCUAGUAGGUGGGGUAAUGGCUCACCUAGGCGACGAUCCCUAGCUGGUCUGAGAGGAUGACCAGCCACACUGGAACUGAGACACGGUCCAGACUCCUACGGGAGGCAGCAGUGGGGAAUAUUGCACAAUGGGCGCAAGCCUGAUGCAGCCAUGCCGCGUGUGUGAAGAAGGCCUUAGGGUUGUAAAGCACUUUCAGCGAGGAGGAAGGCGCUGUAGUUAAUAGCUGCAGCGAUUGACGUUACUCGCAGAAGAAGCACCGGCUAACUCCGUGCCAGCAGCCGCGGUAAUACGGAGGGUGCAAGCGUUAAUCGGAAUUACUGGGCGUAAAGCGCACGCAGGCGGUUUGUUAAGUCAGAUGUGAAAUCCCCGAGCUUAACUUGGGAACUGCAUUUGAAACUGGCAAGCUAGAGUCUUGUAGAGGGGGGUAGAAUUCCAGGUGUAGCGGUGAAAUGCGUAGAGAUCUGGAGG
rnacentral:rRNA from 1 species